rnacentral:rRNA from 1 species
UUAAGCAUAUCAAUAAGCGGAGGAAAAGAAACCAACAGGGAUUGCCCCAGUAACGGCGAGUGAAGCGGCAACAGCUCAAAUUUGAAAUCUGGCUUCGGCCCGAGUUGUAAUUUGCAGAGGAUGUUUAUGGUGCGGUACCUUCCGAGUUCCCUGGAACGGGACGCCACAGAGGGUGAGAGCCCCGUCUGGUUGGAUACCAAACCUGUGUUAAACUCCUUCAACGAGUCGAGUAGUUUGGGAAUGCUGCUCUAAAUGGGAGGUAAAUCUCUUCUAAAGCUAAAUAUUGGCCAGAGACCGAUAGCGCACAAGUAGAGUGAUCGAAAGAUGAAAAGCACCUUGAAAAGGGGGUUAAACAGUACGUGAAAUUGUUAAAAGGGAAGCGUUUAUGACCAGACUUGUGUCGUGUGGCUCAUCCGAGGUUCUCCCCGGUGCACUCCACACGGCUCAGGCCAACAUCGGUUCUCGUUGGGGGAUAAGAACAGCAGGAACGUGGCCCUCUUCGGAGGGUGUUAUAGCCUGCUGUACGAUACCCUGAUGGGGACCGAGGACCGCGCUUCGGCUAGGAUGUUGGCGUAAUGGUCAUUAGCGACCCGUCUUGAAACACGGACCAAGGAGUCGUCCAUUAGAGCGAGCGUUUGGGUGUAAAACCCGCACGCGUAAUGAAAGUGAAAUUAGGUGAGAGCUUCGGCGCAUCAUCGACCGAUCCUGAAGUUUACGGAUGGAUUUGAGUAAGAGUUUUAACGGACGGACCCGAAAGACAGUGAACUAUGCUUGAAUAGGGUGAAGCCAGAGGAAACUCUGGUGGAGGCUCGCAGCGGUUCUGACGUGCAAAUCGAUCGUCAAAUUUGAGCAUGGGGGCGAAAGACUAAUCGAACUGUCUAGUAGCUGGUUACCGCCGAAUU